rnacentral:rRNA from 1 species
AUUGAACGCUGGCGGUAUGCUUUACACAUGCAAGUCGAACGGCAGCACGGGGCAACCUGGUGGCGAGUGGCGAACGGGUGAGUAACAUAUCGGAACAUGUCCGGAAGUGGGGGAUAACGUAGCGAAAGUUACGCUAAUACCGCAUAUGCCCUGAGGGGGAAAGGGGGGAUCGCAAGACCUCUCGCUUUCGGAGUGGCCGAUAUCGGAUUAGCUAGUAGGUGAGGUAAAGGCUCACCUAGGCGACGAUCCGUAGCUGGUCUGAGAGGACGACCAGCCACACUGGAACUGAGACACGGUCCAGACUCCUACGGGAGGCUG